GUCCCUGUUGAUCGAUCCACACUCCUGCCUAAGUAGUUUGUUAAGCUCCAGUGCCGGAGGUGGGUCAAGUAUUUCAGACACGCUGAGUUAUAGCAGUAGUUAUGGUAACACCAACAGUCACUGAUUGUGGACUUCACAACGAAUAGUACGAAGAAUAAAAAGUUGGAUAACUUUUUCCAUGCUUUGUUGGACUAACAGAGCAACACAUGGAAUAAUGGUAGAAAAUCUAGAAACAGUUAAACAGUUAUAGAUCGAAGCAUAAGCUAUCCACGGGGUCUACUUCUGCUUUCAAUAGUAGUAGCAUUAUGGACCAUCCUGGUUUGUCCUCUUAUGCAUCCAAAAUGUUCAAAGUGAACAUGCUUUUUACGCAGUUGCUGACAAAAAAAACUUUGUAUGAACACUCGUAGCACGAUGAAUACAUCGGUGUGGUUCAGACGCAAAUUCUUCCCAACAACAUAAACACGGUGCUUAAGGUGUACCCAUCAUGGUUUGUUACGAGCACUUCACACUCCAAGACAAAACAGCCUCGCAUUGAGCUGACACUAGAUAAAGCGUUGAAAAAUGACAGCAGUUUUGUCGUGUGGUCCAGUAUGCCUUUUGACUCCAACCCAACAUUAGGUAGAACUCAAACUCAGCCCUUAGCAAUCACAGCGAGGCCAGCAUGUCAUCUCACCUUCUUGAGCCUCAGUCAUUGGACGGCCUGUCAUGCGAACGAAUUCAAGAGUUCAAAGCAAAUAUUAUUAGCCAACAAUACAAACAUCGUUAAAGUAAAUGUCGAUGGAAAUCGGCGGCACCCCUUUCUUUAACAAAUACUACAACUCGCUCAAGAAAUUUAAGUACGAAGACGUAUUGCAGCAGCCUAGCACACCACAUCUUCUCCAAUGUUGGCUACAUCAACACUUCGAACAGCAGAGCCUUGAAGAGCACCAUCAUCGAUAUUGAUUUGGCGCAGCAACAGCACCAGUCCAGCCCGCAUGAGCCUCAGUCAAGGACGAACCUUCCCCUCCACCUGACCCUAGCAGCCUCAGUCCACGACGACCCUUCCACUCGACCUGACCCUAGCGCCUCCACCUUGACCUACGGCCUCAAAAGAUUACAUUAUUAUCCAAGAAGAAGAACAUUGUUGAAGUAAAUGUUGAAAACAGUCCAAACCCCCUUCUCACACAAAUACUACAAGUCGCUCGAGACAUUCAGCACGCCACCUAUGAACAUCUCGCACAAAAACAACAAGUUGUUCAAGAAAUUCAGCACGCCACCUAUGAACAUCUCCCACAAAUACUACAAGUCGCUCAAGAUUCAGCACGCCACCUAUGAACAUCUCCUACAAAUACUACAAGUCGCUCAAGAAAUUCAGCACGCCACCUAUGAACAUCUCACACAAAUAAUACAACUCGUUCAAGAAAUUCAGCACGCCACCUAUGAACAUCUCCAACAAAUACUACAAGUCGCUCAAGAAAUUCAGCACGCCACCUAUGAACAUCUCCCACAAAUACUACAAGUCGUUCAAGAAUUUCAGCACGCCACCUAUGAACAUCUCCCACAAAUACUACAAGUUGCUCAAGAAAUUCAGCACGCCACGUAUGAACAUCUCGCACAAAUACUACAAGUUGUUUAAAAAUUUGGCAGGCCACGUAUGAACAUCUCCCAGAAAUACUACAAGUCGCUCAAGAUUCAGCACGCCACCUAUGAACAUCUCGCACAAAUACUACAAGUCGCUCAAGAAAUUCAGCAUGCCACCUAUGAACAUCUCCCACAAAUACUACAAGUCGCUCAAGAAAUUCAGCACGCCACCUAUAAACAUCUCCCACAAAUACUACAAGUCGCUCAAGAAAUUCAGCAUGCCAC